rnacentral:rRNA from 1 species
UAGAGUUUGAUCAUGGCUCAGGAUGAACGCUAGCGACAGGCUUAACACAUGCAAGUCGAGGGGCAGCGGGGAGGUAGCAAUACUUCCGCCGGCGACCGGCGCACGGGUGAGUAACACGUAUGGAACCUGCCCGUAGCAGGGGGAUAAACGGAAGAAAUUCCGUCUAAUACCGCGUAAUAACUCCGAGAGGCAUCUCAUGGAGUUUAAAGGGUAACACCGGCUACGGAUGGCCAUGCGGCGCAUUAGCUAGUUGGCGGGGUAACGGCCCACCAAGGCGACGAUGCGUAGGGGUUCUGAGAGGAAGGUCCCCCACACUGGUACUGAGACACGGACCAGACUCCUACGGGAGGCAGCAGUGAGGAAUAUUGGUCAAUGGGCGCGAGCCUGAACCAGCCAAGUCGCGUGAGGGAAGACGGUCCUAUGGAUUGUAAACCUCUUUUGUCGGGGAGCAAAAGACGCCACGUGUGGCGUUCCGAGAGUACCCGAAGAAAAAGCAUCGGCUAACUCCGUGCCAGCAGCCGCGGUAAUACGGAGGAUGCGAGCGUUAUCCGGAUUUAUUGGGUUUAAAGGGUGCGCAGGCGGAAGAUCAAGUCAGCGGUAAAAUUGAGAGGCUCAACCUCUUCGAGCCGUUGAAACUGGUUUUCUUGAGUGAGCGAGAAGUAUGCGGAAUGCGUGGUGUAGCGGUGAAAUGCAUAGAUAUCACGCAGAACUCCGAUUGCGAAGGCAGCAUACCGGCGCUCAACUGACGCUCAUGCACGAAAGUGUGGGUAUCGAACAGGAUUAGAUACCCUGGUAGUCCACACAGUAAACGAUGAAUACUAAUUGUUCGGGGAGAAUGAUCCCUGAGUGAUACAGCGAAAGCGUUAAGUAUUCCACCUGGGGAGUACGCCGGCAACGGUGAAACUCAAAGGAAUUGACGGGGGCCCGCACAAGCGGAGGAACAUGUGGUUUAAUUCGAUGAUACGCGAGGAACCUUACCCGGGCUCAAACGACACAGGAAUACUUUUGAAAGGAGGUAGCUCUACGGAGUCUGUGUCGAGGUGCUGCAUGGUUGUCGUCAGCUCGUGCCGUGAGGUGUCGGCUUAAGUGCCAUAACGAGCGCAACCCCCAUCGCCAGUUACCAGCAAGUCAAGUUGGGGACUCUGGCGAGACUGCCGGCGCAAGCUGUGAGGAAGGCGGGGAUGACGUCAAAUCAGCACGGCCCUUACGUCCGGGGCGACACACGUGUUACAAUGGCAGGUACAGAGAGAAGCAAUGCGGCGACGCAAAGCGGAACUUGAAAGCCUGUCUCAGUUCGGAUUGGAGUCUGCAACUCGACUCCAUGAAGCUGGAUUCGCUAGUAAUCGCGCAUCAGCCAUGGCGCGGUGAAUACGUUCCCGGGCCUUGUACACACCGCCCGUCAAGCCAUGGAAGCCGGGAGUGCCUGAAGUGUGCAACCGCAAGGAGCGCCCUAAGGUAAAACUGGUGACUGGGGCUAAGUCGUAACAAGGUAGCCGUA